GAAUGGUACUCCAUGAACAACCCAAGUCUGGUUCACUGAUGUUGGCUCUGACGAAUUCAUCUUAAUCAAUGUGAUUGCUUCUGCUCCCGUAAAAAUGAGUGAUUGGGACACAUAAAAUACGCUAUCAACUUUUACCCCAAACUAAGCAGUUUAGAUCAUUUAUUUCCAUAAAAUGAGACUGUGCAUCAUAUGUCAAGCUGGCGCAUUUUCUGUGUGACUGACUUUAGAGACCGAGUUGACAAUCUAAGUUCUAAUUAUUUGUACCCUCCCCGGUCUGUUGUUAUAGGACGAUGUGGGACUCUCCCAGAGGAGUGUCAGAAAGGAUGUUAUGUGGGCUGACGGGAAGCAGCUGAAAAUGAUCCACGGGGUUUUUUAAUGCAGAUGAUGCACGGGUCGGAGAGGACCCGAAGGGGAUCGAAGAACCCUGAUUGGAAGAUUCCAUGUAUAAGUGCUGAGAGUUUCUGUCUUUGUCUGGCUUAUUUCACUAAGCAUAAUAUCUUCUAGGACCAUCACACUGUUGGAAAUGGCAGCGCUUCAUUAUUUUUUAUGAUAAGAUCCUUCUGCUACAGCUACUUCCAGAUAUCUGAGAAGACUGGCCAAGACAGUGGAGUAGAAAGAUGCUGAGUUCAUCUCCUCUCGCGAGUACAGCAAAAUCACAACUAUCCGCAGGACAACCAGGACCCACCAGAAAAGAUCUUCUACAACUAAAGACAUAAAGAAGAAACCUUAUGAAACGGGUAGGAGGGGCAGACUUGCACUAUAAUUAAAUGUUAUGCCACUGGGUGGGCAACCCACAAGCUAAGAGAAUAAUUACAUGGCAGACUUUCUCCCCUAAAAGCAAGAGCACUGAGCCCUAAAUUGAGCUUCUUAGCCCAGGAAUCCUGGACUGGAAAGAUGAGCCCCCAGAGCACGUGGCUUUGAAGACAAGUGGGGCUUCCUGUUGAAAGUCUCGUAGGACUGAAAUAGAGACCUCACUCUUAAAGGGUGCACAUAAAAUCUCACAUGCACUGGAACCCAAAGCAAAAGUAAGAUUUUGAUAGAAACCUGGGCCAGACCUACCUGCUGAUCUGUGGGAGAGGUGGGGUGGAGGGGCAGCUGUG
ensembl:lncRNA